GUAGGGAGCGAGCGUUGUCCGGAAUUACUGGGUGUAAAGGGAGCGUAGACGGUUCUGUAAGUCUGGAGUGAAAGCCCGGGGCCCAACCCCGGGACUGCUCUGGAAACUGUGGAGCUAGAGUACAGGAGGGGCAGGCGGAAUUCCUGGUGUAGCGGUGAAAUGCGUAGAUAUCAGGAGGAACACCGGCGGCGAAGGCGGCCUGCUGGACUGCAACUGACGUUGAGGCUCGAAAGCGUGGGGAGC
rnacentral:rRNA from 1 species